rnacentral:rRNA from 1 species
GAGAGUUUGAUCCUGGCUCAGGACGAACGCUGGCGGCGUGCCUAACACAUGCAAGUCGAGCGAUGAAGCUUCCUUCGGGGAGUGGAUUAGCGGCGGACGGGUGAGUAACACGUGGGUAACCUGCCUCAAAGAGGGGGAUAGCCUCCCGAAAGGGAGAUUAAUACCGCAUAACAUUAUUUUAUGGCAUCAUAGAAUAAUCAAAGGAGCAAUUCGCUUUGAGAUGGACCCGCGGCGCAUUAGCUAGUUGGUGAGGUAAGGGCUCACCAAGGCGACGAUGCGUAGCCGACCUGAGAGGGUGAUCGGCCACAUUGGAACUGAGACACGGUCCAGACUCCUACGGGAGGCAGCAGUGGGGAAUAUUGCGCAAUGGGGGAAACCCUGACGCAGCAACGCCGCGUGAGUGAUGAAGGUUUUCGGAUCGUAAAACUCUGUCUUUAGGGACGAUAAUGACGGUACCUAAGGAGGAAGCCACGGCUAACUACGUGCCAGCAGCCGCGGUAAUACGUAGGUGGCAAGCGUUGUCCGGAUUUACUGGGCGUAAAGAGUAUGUAGGUGGGUGCUUAAGUCAGAUGUGAAAUUCCCGGGCUUAACCUGGGCGCUGCAUUUGAAACUGGGCAUCUAGAGUGCAGGAGAGGAAAGUGGAAUUCCUAGUGUAGCGGUGAAAUGCGUAGAGAUUAGGAAGAACACCAGUGGCGAAGGCGACUUUCUGGACUGUAACUGACACUGAGAUACGAAAGCGUGGGUAGCAAACAGGAUUAGAUACCCUGGUAGUCCACGCCGUAAACGAUGAAUACUAGGUGUCGGGGGGUACCACCCUCGGUGCCGCAGCAAACGCAUUAAGUAUUCCGCCUGGGGAGUACGGUCGCAAGAUUAAAACUCAAAGGAAUUGACGGGGACCCGCACAAGCAGCGGAGCAUGUGGUUUAAUUCGAAGCAACGCGAAGAACCUUACCUAGACUUGACAUCUCCUGAAUUACUCUUAAUCGAGGAAGUCCCUUCGGGGACAGGAAGACAGGUGGUGCAUGGUUGUCGUCAGCUCGUGUCGUGAGAUGUUGGGUUAAGUCCCGCAACGAGCGCAACCCUUAUUGUUAGUUGCUACUAUUAAGUUAAGCACUCUAACGAGACUGCCGCGGUUAACGUGGAGGAAGGUGGGGAUGACGUCAAAUCAUCAUGCCCCUUAUGUCUAGGGCUACACACGUGCUACAAUGGCUGGUACAACGAGCAGCAAACCCGCGAGGGGGAGCAAAACUUGAAAGCCAGUCCCAGUUCGGAUUGUAGGCUGAAACUCGCCUACAUGAAGUUGGAGUUGCUAGUAAUCGCGAAUCAGCAUGUCGCGGUGAAUACGUUCCCGGGUCUUGUACACACCGCCCGUCACACCAUGAGAGCCGGUAACACCCGAAGCCCGUGAGGUAACCGUAAGGAGCCAGCGGUCGAAGGUGGGAUUGGUGAUUGGGGUGAAGUCGUAACAAGGUAGCCGUAGGAGAACCUGCGGCUGGAUCACCUCCUU